rnacentral:rRNA from 1 species
ACGCCGCGUGAGGGAUGAAGGCCUCUGGGCUGUAAACCUCUUUUCUCAAGGAAGAAGAUCUGACGGUACUUGAGGAAUAAGCCACGGCUAAUUCCGUGCCAGCAGCCGCGGUAAUACGGGAGUGGCAAGCGUUAUCCGGAAUUAUUGGGCGUAAAGCGUCCGCAGGCGGCCUUGUAAGUCUGUCGUUAAAGCGUGGAGCUUAACUCCAUUUCAGCGGUGGAAACUACAAGGCUUGAUUGCGGUAGGGGC